rnacentral:rRNA from 1 species
UACAGAGGGUGCAAGCGUUAAUCGGAAUUACUGGGCGUAAAGCGUGCGUAGACGGUUGCGUAAGUCAGAUGUGAAAGCCCCGGGCUCAACCUGGGAAUUGCAUUUGAGACUGCGUAGCUAGGGUGCGGAAGAGGGAAGCGGAAUUUCCGGUGUAGCGGUGAAAUGCGCAGAUAUCAGGAAGAACACCAAUGGCGAAGGCAGCUCUCUGGGACGGUACUGACGCUGAGACGCGAAAGCGUGGGGAGCGAACAGG